rnacentral:rRNA from 1 species
UACGUAGGGUGCAAGCGUUAAUCGGAAUUACUGGGCGUAAAGCGUGCGCAGGCGGUUUUGUAAGUCUGACGUGAAAUCCCCGGGCUUAACCUGGGAAUGGCAUUUGGGACUGCAAGGCUGGAGUGCGGCAGAGGAGACUGGAAUUCCUGGUGUAGCAGUGAAAUGCGUAGAUAUCAGGAGGAACACCGAUGGCGAAGGCAGGUCUCUGGGCUGACACUGACGCUCAUGCACGAAAGCGUGGGGAGCAAACAGG